rnacentral:rRNA from 1 species
GACGAACGCUGGCGGCGUGCCUAAUACAUGCAAGUAGAACGCUGAAGAGAGGAGCUUGCUCUUCUUGGAUGAGUUGCGAACGGGUGAGUAACGCGUAGGUAACCUGCCUUGUAGCGGGGGAUAACUAUUGGAAACGAUAGCUAAUACCGCAUAACAAUGGAUGACACAUGUCAUUUAUUUGAAAGGGGCAAUUGCUCCACUACAAGAUGGACCUGCGUUGUAUUAGCUAGUAGGUGAGGUAACGGCUCACCUAGGCGACGAUACAUAGCCGACCUGAGAGGGUGAUCGGCCACACUGGGACUGAGACACGGCCCAGACUCCUACGGGAGGCAGCAGUAGGGAAUCUUCGGCAAUGGGGGCAACCCUGACCGAGCAACGCCGCGUGAGUGAAGAAGGUUUUCGGAUCGUAAAGCUCUGUUGUAAGUCAAGAACGAGUGUGAGAGUGGAAAGUUCACACUGUGACGGUAGCUUACCAGAAAGGGACGGCUAACUACGUGCCAGCAGCCGCGGUAAUACGUAGGUCCCGAGCGUUGUCCGGAUUUAUUGGGCGUAAAGCGAGCGCAGGCGGUUUGAUAAGUCUGAAGUUAAAGGCUGUGGCUCAACCAUAGUUCGCUUUGGAAACUGUCAAACUUGAGUGCAGAAGGGGAGAGUGGAAUUCCAUGUGUAGCGGUGAAAUGCGUAGAUAUAUGGAGGAACACCGGUGGCGAAAGCGGCUCUCUGGUCUGUAACUGACGCUGAGGCUCGAAAGCGUGGGGGAGCGAACAGG